rnacentral:rRNA from 1 species
AGCCUCUGGCUAUAGGAAAUUGUUAGUGGCAGACGGGUGAGUAAUGCGUAGGAAUCUACCUAGUAGUACGGAAUAGCCAUUAGAAAUGGUGGGUAAUACUGUAUAAUCCCCGAGGGGGAAAGAUUUAUCGCUAUUAGAUGAGCCUACGUUAGAUUAGCUAGUUGGUGAGGUAAUGGCUUACCAAGGCUAUGAUCUAUAGCUGGUCUGAGAGGACGAUCAGCCACACUGGAACUGAGAUACGGUCCAGACUCCUACGGGAGGCAGCAGUGGGGAAUAUUGGACAAUGGGCGAAAGCCUGAUCCAGCUAUGCCGCGUGAGUGAAGAAGGCCUUCGGGUUGUAAAACUCUUUCAAUAGGGAAGAUAAUGACGGUACCUAUAA